GGGAUUUGCACUACUUACAAAGCACGGCUUCAAUUACCACCCUGAGUCGGUCUUCUAGUUUACUUAUAGUUCAAUGGCGUGACCCACCAACAUGCAUACCUGAAUAAUCCAAGAUGGCGGACAGCUCACUGUUUUCAGUCAAAAUAUUUCAAGAUUCAAGAAAUAUAUUGGAAAAACUGUAAAAAUUAUUCAUUAAAAGUUCUUUCAAAUGAAACAAACUAAAUUUGUAAUGCCAAUGUCCUCUAACUAUGCGUUAAUAAGACAUUAAAUCCUGCUUUCUCCCUGAUAUGUGCGGACAGUUUGCAGUAAUUGAUUCAGAUAUAAAUUAUCCAUAUAAAUUAUCGUUUACUUCCCCAGAAGCAGGCUUUCGAGAUCUGUAUAGGUCGAUUUGUCAUCGUUUACUUGUCCGUAAUUGCUGGCAGAAGAAUCACAAGUAUUUCUUGAAUUAUUUUCGUCAUUAGUGGUCUCCACCUUCGCUUCGGUACUUGAUGAUUUUAGUCGGCGAUUUGGAUAGCAGUAAUAACAAGCAGUAAUAACAAAUGAAAUGUCCAGCAGAAUUACUAAUGCUAUAAUUCCAAUACGAAAAUUUUCAGAAGUAUCAUUUUCGUCCGUGCCUGAAACUUGACCUGAAACUUGAAAUGAUUAAAUUAAGAAGAUUACUGCAUGUAUUAAUUAACAAUUAAAUUUACAAGUGGUUUUCGCUAGCUAUUCUGCGUGAUAACUAAGGGAAAGUACAUUUAUUA